AGCUUUGCGCAGUGGCAGUAUCAUAGCCAAUGAGGUUUAUCUGAGGCGCAAUUAUCGCUAAUUGAAAACUAAGUAAAGCAGGGGUUUUGAUUUUCAUUUUAGAGCUGAAAAAAUGGAGGCAGAGAUGUCAUAUGACU
ensembl:snRNA U4 U4 spliceosomal RNA